GCCCUGUUAGCUCAGUGGUAGAGCGUCAGAUUCUUACAGUCCCGCUGACCGGGUAGGAGUCUGGAGGUUGCAGGUUCGACUCCUGUGCGGGGCA